rnacentral:rRNA from 1 species
GCAUAUCAAUAAGCGGAGGAAAAGAAACCAACAGGGGAUUGCCUCAGUAACGGCGAGUGAAGCGGCAACAGCUCAAAUUUGAAAUCUGGAGCUUUCAGCUUCCGAGUUGUAAUUUGAAGAGGAUGUUUCGGUCGCGGCCUGGGCCUAAGUUCCUUGGAACAGGACGUCAUGGAGGGUGAGAAUCCCGUACAUGGCUGCAGGCUUGCUUCUAUGUGAAACUCCUUCGAAGAGUCGAGUUGUUUGGGAAUGCAGCUCAAAAUGGGUGGUAAAUUUCAUCUAAAGCUAAAUAUUGGCGAGAGACCGAUAGCGCACAAGUAGAGUGAUCGAAAGAUGAAAAGCACUUUGAAAAGAGAGUUAAACAGUACGUGAAAUUGUUGAAAGGGAAGCGCUUGCAAUCAGACUCACUUUCAGUUGAUCAACGUUCCUUCUGGUUCGUGCACUCUGCUGUUUGUGGGCCAGCAUCAGUUGGGGCGGUGGGACAAAGGUAGUAGGAAUGUGGCUCUCUUCGGGGAGUGUUAUAGCCUACUGCGUAAUGCCACCUGUCCCGAUUGAGGUCCGCGAUUCGUCUAGGAUGCUGGCUUAAUGGUUGUAAGCGACCCGUCUUGAAACACGGACCAAGGAGUCUAACAUCUAUGCGAGUCUUUGGGUGUCAAACCCAUGGGCGAAAUGAAAGUGAACGGAGGUGGGAGUCUUCGGAUGCACCAUCGACCGAUCCUGAUGUUCUCGGAUGGAUUUGAGUAGGAGCAUAGCUGUUGGGACCCGAAAGAUGGUGAACUAUGCCUGAAUAGGGUGAAGCCAGAGGAAACUCUGGUGGAGGCUCGCAGCGGUUCUGACGUGCAAAUCGAUCGUCAAAUUUGGGUAUAGGGGCGAAAGACUAAUCGAACCAUCUAGUAGCUGGUUCCUGCCGAAG